CGUCUCCUGUUCCCCUCAGGCUUGCGCGUCCCCGAGUGCUCCCCGGCGUCGUGUGCUGCGGCCGGGGUCCCGCCUGUGCCCGCGGGCCUCCAUCUUGGAGGCGACCUGGUUCCAUCUUGCUGUUGGUGGAAUGCAUGCUGGUUUGGGGGGAGGGGUAGCACUUUUUGCCUUCCACCUCUGUAAUUUUAUUUUCCGAGACGGGUCUUUAGCUCAUGCUAAAGUGGUAAUCCUCCAGCCUCAGCGUUCCACCUCGCUCAGCUCCAUCCUCCCCAUUAAUCUUGGGGCGUGCGUGCGUGCGUGUUGGAGAAUAGGGUCCUCCUGUGUAGGUCAAGUUGGUCUAAUAGGUUGUAGCUCAUGCUAACCUCGACCUCGUGGUAGCCCUUGCCCCCGCCCCCCACAUCUCCGCUUCAGCCUAGUGCUGUG
rnacentral:lncRNA from 1 species